UCCAUUAAAAUAUUUAAAUCUUGUAUGAAUUUUUGUCAGAUUAGAAAUUUAGGGCGUUUCUUAAUUUCUCUAUACUCUAGCUUUUGACUUUUUUUUUCUGACCUAAGAGGUAUUUAGAGCACAUUUUAGAUUUUUUAUUUUGACUAAUCAUUUAAAAUGUAUACUAAUCAUCAAUUUAAAUAAAAAACUGGUCUAUAGUGACAAAAAUUACAAAUGAGCCUAACUAAUAAAUUAUCAGCUGUGUUUAUAUGUAUAAGCAUGCACAGAUUUUGGUAAAUAUGUACAUAGUAUGUUGGUGAGCUUAUUUUUAUCAUUCUUAACUCAUUGUGUAGUCUAAACAUUGGGGAAAAAAUAAAAUACAAUAAUCAGAUGGUGUGAAUAAGAAAAUUGUUCUAAUGUUUGUAAACCAAGCAACUGUUUUAACUGCUCCCCUCUUCCUGAUUGACUUCUAAAAGGGAUUGAUCCAUAUUGGGUCCUAUCAUAUACGUCACGGUAUAACAUCUCCAGCUAUAAAAUGGAAAUUUGAGAAUAACUUUGCUGCUACUCAGAUACAUUUUAUUUCAAAAACA
rnacentral:lncRNA from 1 species